AUUGAACGCUGGCGGCAGGCCUAACACAUGCAAGUCGAACGAGUGGCGGACGGGUGAGUAAUGUCUGGGAAACUGCCUGAUGGAGGGGGAUAACUACUGGAAACGGUAGCUAAUACCGCAUACCAUCAGAUGUGCCCAGAUGGGAUUAGCUAGUUGGUGGGGUAACGGAUCACCAAGGCGACGAUCCCUAGCUGGUCUGAGUGGAUGACCAGCCACACGGGAGCGGAGACACGGUCCAGCCUCCGAAGGGAGGCAGCAGUGGGGAAUAUUGGACAAUGGGGGAAAGCGUGAUCCAGCCAAACCGCGGGUGUGAAGAAGGUCUUCGGAUUGUAAAGCAAUUUAAGUUGGGAGGCGUUACCAACAGAAUAAGCACCGGCUAACUUCGUGCCAGCAGCCGCGGUAAUUC
rnacentral:rRNA from 1 species